GAAAAAAAAAAAAAAGGACAUUUUGGAAUGAGACCAAAGGCAGAGGCAGAGAGUGGGUAGUUUUGGCGUAUGUUGAGCACUGAAAAUGCCUGGAAUUGCCAAACUGAGCUUUUGUAUGAGCAGCGUAAGGGCUACUCGGUGCACGCAGAGCCGCGGGGCUGCACGGAAUAGCCGGACGGAAAGUGAUUCUGCAUUUCCUUCAGUAGCCUGGAUGUCUUGGCAUUAGUAGCCACGUCACUUUGUUCGUGGACACUCUGAGGAGCAGAUCCCUGCCCUGUGGCACGGGGGGGAUCAGGCUCUGAUAAGGUGCUGGAAUGAUCGUCCUGCUGUUCCUUGAGUGGCUUUCCAGACAUGUGGAGAGAAGCAGACACUUGCAGAGCGGAGCUGGGAAGGAGAGCAGAAAGAGGUGAAAAAAUGGCUUUCCUUGCACAGAAAGGACCUGUGGAGCAGCCAAUGCCUGGAUAAGGCUCAUCCUAGUGCCUGGAUAAGGAUGAUCUUAGUGCCUGGAUAAAAAUCAUCUCAGUGCCUGGAUAAGAAUCAUCUCUAGUGCCUGGAAAAGAAUAAUCUCAU